rnacentral:rRNA from 1 species
UGAGCAGGCGGGGUGACAAGUGGUGUAUGAAAGGGCCGCGCUUAACGUGGCUAAGUUAUGCCAGACUGUUGCUCUAGAGGACGAAACAGGGGCAUGGAAUUCCGGGUGUAGUGGUGAAAUGCGUAGAGAUCCGGAAGAACCCCAGAGGCGAAGGCGGUGCCCUGGUUCGCACCUGACGCUCAGCCACGACAGCAUGGGGAGCGAACGGGAUUAGAAACCCCGGUAGUCCAUGCCGUAAACGAUGCAAACUAGGCGCUAGUGGUCUCAACCCCGCUGGUGCCGUAGCCAACGCGCUAAGUUUGCCGCCUGGGGAGUACGGCCGCAAGGCUAAA